rnacentral:misc_RNA from 1 species
AAUUCUCAACUGCCUUGGCUUUUUGUGCCAAAGUGAAGUUGGAUUUUGGAGGUUUUGUUGCUGGCAAUGGAGCGUCUGAUGAUUGGGAUGCUUGCUUGUUGGCUCCUCCUAAACGCAUAUGCAGAGCUUGGCAAAGCGGCGUCGACGUGAUAAUUAUCUACGUUGUCGCUGAAGUGUGCAGAUCUGCUUGUGGCCUUUUGAACAAU